rnacentral:rRNA from 1 species
UACGUAGGGGGCUAGCGUUGUCCGGAAUCAUUGGGCGUAAAGCGCGUGUAGGCGGCUAUGUAAGUCGGGCGUGAAAUCCCACGGCUCAACCGUGGAAGUGCACCCGAAACUGCGUAGCUAGAGUCCUGGAGAGGAAGGUGGAAUGCUUGGUGUAGAGGUGAAAUUCGUAGAUAUCAAGCGGAACACCGGUGGUGAAGGCGGCCUUCUGGACAGUGACUGACGCUGAGACGCGAAAGCGUGGGGAGCAAACAGG